UGGGAAUUUUGGACAAUGGGCGAAAGCCUGAUCCAGCAAUGCCGCGUGUGUGAAGAAGGCCUUCGGGUUGUAAAGCACUUUUGUCCGGAAAGAAAUCCUUGGCUCUAAUACAGUCGGGGGAUGACGGUACCGGAAGAAUAAGCACCGGCUAACUACGUGCCAGCAGCCGCGGUAAUACGUAGGGUGCAAGCGUUAAUCGGAAUUACUGGGCGUAAAGCGUGCGCAGGCGGUUUGCUAAGACCGAUGUGAAAUCCCCGGGCUCAACCUGGGAACUGCAUUGGUGACUGGCAGGCUAGAGUAUGGCAGAGGGGGGUAGAAUUCCACGUGUAGCAGUGAAAUGCGUAGAGAUGUGGAGGAAUACCGAUGGCGAAGGCAGCCCCCUGGGCCAAUACUGACGCUCAUGCACGAAAGCGUGGGGAGCAAACAGGAUUAGAUACCCUGGUAGUCCACGCCCUAAAACGAUGUCAACUAGUUGUUGGGGAUUCAUUUCCUUAGUAACGUAGCUAACGCGUGAAGUUGACCGCCUGGGGAGUACGGUCGCAAGAUUAAAACUCAAAGGAAUUGACGGGGU
rnacentral:rRNA from 1 species